rnacentral:ncRNA from 1 species
CGAUGUCGGCUCUUCCUAUCAUAGCGAGCAGAUUCGCCAGGCAACCGUCCCCACCAUAGGGAACGGAGCUGGGUGAAACAAAGGAGAGACAGGUUAGUUUUACCCUACUGAUGACAAGUCGUUGCGAUAGUAAUCCUGCUCAGUACGAGAGGAACCGCGGGAUCAGACAUUUGGUUCAUGCGCUCGGCUGAAAGGCCGGUGGCGCGAAGCUAGCAUCUGCAAGAUUAUGACUGAACGCCUCUAAGUCAGAAUCUUUUCUAGUCAUUGGCAACGAUAAGUUGCGUCCAGACUCGAUGCGAGGAAACGAUUAGGCUUUGCUGCUAUACGGCGAAGCCAUUAUCAGACCACGGUAGCAGGCAGUAUGGGAUUGUUACGAAGAAGCAAUUUUUUGAAGUCAGUUGAAUUCAAUGAAACUGCUAACAAUUCCACUGCGAAUGACUCCAUUCGAAUCAAUCGAAGCACAGCGGUCAGGAUGUCGAACAUUUUGCAGACGACAAAAAUACCGGUUCAGGUGUCGUAAUCAGUAGAGCAGUCAACACACUGCGAUCUGAUGAGACUCAUCCUUGUAAUCGAUUUGCUCGU